rnacentral:rRNA from 1 species
GACGAAGGGGGCUAGCGUUGUUCGGAAUUACUGGGCGUAAAGCGCGUGUAGGCGGUUGUUCAAGUCGGGUGUGAAAGCCUUGAGCUCAACUCAAGAAAUGCACUCGGUACUGGAUGACUAGAGGACCGGAGAGGAUAGUGGAAUUCCCCAGUGUAGUGGUGAAAUACGUAGAGAUUGGGAAGAACACCAGUGGCGAAGGCGGCUAUCUGGACGGUUUCUGACGCUAAGACGCGAAAGCGUGGGGAGCAAACAGG